CAGUCGCCGCGGUAACACGGAGGGUGCAAGCGUUAAUCGGAAUUACUGGGCGUAAAGCGUGCGUAGGCGGUUCGUUAAGUCUGUUGUGAAAGCCCCGGGCUCAACCUGGGAAUGGCAAUGGAUACUGGCGAGCUAGAGUGUGUCAGAGGAUGGUGGAAUUCCCGGUGUAGCGGUGAAACGCGUAGAGAUCGGGAGGAACAUCAGUGGCGAAGGCGGCCAUCUGGGACAACACUGACGCUGAGGCACGAAAGCGUGGGGAGCAAACAGGAUUAGAGACCCCAGUAGUCCCUGUCUCUUAUAC
rnacentral:rRNA from 1 species